UACGGAGGGGGCUAGCGUUGUUCGGAAUUACUGGGCGUAAAGCGCACGUAGGCGGCUUUUUAAGUCGGAGGUGAAAUCCUGGAGCUCAACUCCAGAACUGCCUUCGAUACUGGAGAGCUUGAGUCCGGGAGAGGUGAGUGGAACUGCGAGUGUAGAGGUGAAAUUCGUAGAUAUUCGCAAGAACACCAGUGGCGAAGGCGGCUCACUGGCCCGGUACUGACGCUGAGGUGCGAAAGCGUGGGGAGCAAACAGG
rnacentral:rRNA from 1 species